rnacentral:rRNA from 1 species
CCCUUAGAUGUCCUGGGCCGCACGCGUGCUACACUGACGCCUACAGCGAGUACUUCCCAGCCCCGAGAGGUGGCUGGUAAUCAGCAAUAGGCGUCGUGAUGGGGAUAGAUCUUUGGAAUUAUGGAUCUUGAACGAGGAAUGCCUAGUAAGCGCAGGUCAUUAGCCUGCGCUGAUUAAGUCCCUGCCCUUUGUACACACCGCCCGUCGCUCCUACCGAUUUCGAGUGGUCCGGUGAAUCUUUCGGACUGCGCGCGGCCUCGUGCCGUGUCGCGGAAAGUCAGGUAAACCUCAUCACUUAGAGGAAGGAGAAGUCGUAACA